rnacentral:rRNA from 1 species
UUGAACGCUGGCGGCAUGCCUUACACAUGCAAGUCGAACGGCAGCACGGGAGCAAUCCUGGUGGCGAGUGGCGAACGGGUGAGUAAUAUAUCGGAACGUGCCCAGUCGUGGGGGAUAACGUAGCGAAAGCUACGCUAAUACCGCAUACGAUCUACGGAUGAAAGCGGGGGAUCGCAAGACCUCGCGCGAUUGGAGCGGCCGAUAUCAGAUUAGCUAGUUGGUGGGGUAAAGGCCCACCAAGGCGACGAUCUGUAGCUGGUCUGAGAGGACGACCAGCCACACUGGGACUGAGACACGGCCCAGACUCCUACGGGAGGCAGCAGUGGGGAAUUUUGGACAAUGGGCGCAAGCCUGAUCCAGCAAUGCCGCGUGCAGGAAGAAGGCCUUCGGGUUGUAAACUGCUUUUGUACGGAACGAAAAGGUUUGUCUUAAUACGAUGAGCUCAUGACGGUACCGUAAGAAUAAGCACCGGCUAACUACGUG